GGGCUGUGCUUUCUGCUGUGUGCGCAAAUGUUCUACCAACCACCUCGGCUUGUGAAGGCAGAUGUCAUGCAGUCUGCAAACAUCUUGUGGUGCCCUAGACCCAUCUGCCUCCUUUGCCCAGCAGAAUUGCAACAGGUCUGUGUGGAGGGAGGUUUCCACGCAGCCAGGAUCCCCUGUUUGACCAGGGUGCCAGCCAGGUCUUUCCCCUGCCAAGUUCCAGCUGCAGCUCAGAGAUAGAUGGAAGGGUGUGAAUAAGGUUACAGGGGGAGUGUCCUUUGAGCACAUCCCUCCCAUAAGACCCUCAGUCAUAUUAGAAACGUCCUGAGCCCCAGCAGGUCUGGGGUGGCCCAAGCCUCUGACUUCCCUGAGAUUUGCUGUGGAUUGGCCUGGGUUUUACUGCUCUCUUCUCCUCUCGCCCUUCCUGCAGCCCUGAUGCGGAGUUCUGUGGCUACUGUAUCACACACCCCUCUGAAAGCAAGAUCAGCUUCCGGAUCCAGACCAGAGGGGCCCUUCCUGCUGUUGAGCCAUGCCAGAAAGGAAUGAAUGACCUGAUGGGUGUUUGCUAACAUGUACUCAACACCUUUGAGAGGAGCAUGAAGGAGUACAGGGCCCAGAGGGAGGAAGAGAUACAGUAGCAUUUGGGGAUGGCAGUCUCCAUGGACGUGUAAGGUCUGUGUGUUGAAUUCCCUGUGCCAAGUAUUUCUGGUAGUGUGUUUUAGGACUGCUUUGAUGCAAACCUGUAUUUUCUGUAAUAAUAAAGAUUCUG